GACGAACGCUGGCGGCGUGCUUAACACAUGCAAGUCGAACGGAAAGGCCUGCUUUCCCUUGUGGAUUGCGGGUACUCGAGUGGCGAACGGGUGAGUAACACGUGAGUGAUCUGCCCCCAACUUGGGUAUAAGCCUGGGAAACUGGGUCUAAUUCCCGAUAGGACUGCAGGGUGGUGCCUGUGGUUGAAAACGAUUUUCUAGUGGUUGGGGAUGAGCUCGCGGCCUAUCAGCUUGUUGGUGGGGUAAUGGCCUACCAAGGCGGCUACGGGUAGCCGGCCUGAGAGGGUGGACGGCGACAUUGGGACUGAGAUACGGCCCAGACUCCUACGGGAGGCAGCAGUGGGGAAUAUUGGACAAUGGGCGGAAGCCUGAUGCAGCGACGCCGCGUGGGGGAUGACGGCCUUCGGGUUGUAAACUCCUUUCGACCGCGAGGAAGCCACCUGGUUGGAAGGGUGGUGACGGUAGUGGUAGAAGAAGCACCGGCUAACUACGUG
rnacentral:rRNA from 1 species